rnacentral:rRNA from 1 species
AGAGUUUGAUCCUGGCUCAGGAUAAACGCUAGCGGCAGGCCUAACACAUGCAAGUCGAGGGGUAACAGGGGAGCUUGCUUCCGCUGACGACCGGCGCACGGGUGAGUAACGCGUAUACAAUCUGCCCUUUACAGGAGAAUAGCCAGAAGAAAUUCUGAUUAAUGCUCCAUAGUCUUUAAUAGUGGCAUCAUUAUAAAAGUAAACCUUUCGGGGGGUAAAGGAUGAGUAUGCGUAACAUUAGAUAGUUGGUGAGGUAACGGCUCACCAAGUCCACGAUGUUUAUGGGGUCUUAAAGGAUGGUCCCACACACUGGUACUGAGACACGGACCAGACUCCUACGGGAGGCAGCAGUGAGGAAUAUUGGUCAAUGGACGCAAGUCUGAACCAGCCAUGCCGCGUGCAGGAAUACGGCUCUAGUAGUUGUAAACUGCUUUUAUACGGGAAGAAUGCUUUACUUAUGUAGAGAGAGACUGUACCGUACGAAUAAGGAUCGGCUAACUCCGUGCCAGCAGCCGCGGUAAUACGGAGGAUCCAAGCGUUAUCCGGAUUUAUUGGGUUUAAAGGGUACGUAGGCGGGGAAUUAAGUCAGUGGUGAAAUCUUGCAGCUUAACUGUAACACUGCCAUUGAUACUGGUUCUCUUGAGUAUAGGCGAAGUGGGCGGAAUAUAACAUGUAGCGGUGAAAUGCUUAGAUAUGUUAUAGAACACCGAUUGCGAAGGCAGCUCACUAGACUAUUACUGACGCUGAUGUACGAAAGCGUGGGUAGCGAACAGGAUUAGAUACCCUGGUAGUCCACGCCGUAAACGAUGAUUACUGGUUGUAUGCGUUACACUGUAUGCGACUGAGCGAAAGCAUUAAGUAAUCCACCUGGGGAGUACGUUCGCAAGAAUGAAACUCAAAGGAAUUGACGGGGGCCCGCACAAGCGGAGGAACAUGUGGUUUAAUUCGAUGAUACGCGAGGAACCUUACCUGGGCUCAAACGCAAGCGCUCGGCCAAGAGAUUGGUUUUUCUAGCAAUAGACGCGAAGCGAGGUGCUGCAUGGCUGUCGUCAGCUCGUGCCGUGAGGCGUCGGGUUAAGUCCCAUAACGAGCGCAACCCCUAUCAUUAGUUACCAGCGGAUCAAGCCGGGGACUCUAAUGAGACUGCCACCGUAAGGUGAGAGGAAGGUGGGGAUGACGUCAAGUCAGCACGGCCCUUACGUCCAGGGCUACACACGUGUUACAAUGGCCGGUACAAAGGGCAGCUACCUAGUGAUAGGAUGCUAAUCUCUAAAGCCGGUCUCAGUUCGGAUCGAAGUCUGUAACUCGACUUCGUGAAGUUGGAUUCGCUAGUAAUCGUAUAUCAGCAAUGAUACGGUGAAUACGUUCCCGGGCCUUGUACACACCGCCCGUCAAGCCAUGGAAGCCGGGGGUACCUGAAGUCUGUAACCGCAAGGAGCGGCCUAGGGUAAAACUGGUAACUGGGGCUAAGUCGAAACAAGGUA